rnacentral:misc_RNA from 1 species
UGUCAUUUGUAUAUUUGAGGUCACUCAACUCUGGAUGUUUUCUGCCAACUUCACAAGAUUCAACAACGAAAAACUCCGCCAAACACGACCUUCAAAUCAAAUUAAUCUAAAAUGGAUGACGAAUAUGAGAGAAUUUGUCGGCCUUGUCGGUUUUUGAUCUUUCGAGGCAAGACAUACAAUUACGAGGAAAGCUGGAACCUGCCAGAGGGCUUCUUUCUUCUCCAUCCAAAGGCAGCA